rnacentral:rRNA from 1 species
GAUCAUGGCUCAGGACGAACGCUGGCGGCGCGCCUAACACAUGCAAGUCGAACGAGAGAGGAAGAGCUUGCUUUUCCGAUCGAGUGGCGAACGGGUGAGUAACGCGUGAGGAACCUGCCUCAAAGAGGGGGACAACAGUUGGAAACGACUGCUAAUACCGCAUAAGCCAACGGCUCGGCAUCGAGCAGAGGGAAAAGGAGCAAUCCGCUUUGAGAUGGCCCCGCGUCCGAUUAG